UCCAAUAUUUUGUUAGGAUUUGUAGAGCUCUCUACUACACAAAUAUGCAAAGCAACCAAAACUAUUUUGGUGGGUAACAAAAGCACAAGUCAAUAACAAAACCAACAAUACCAUUCAUUUAUUUAUCUAUAAAAAAAUCCCUAGCUGCCACCAAUGAUAGAGAGAAAACAAAAACCCUUAACCUUGGCUAGGCUAGUGAGAACAUAGAAACUCUAGCAUUGUAUACUUGCAAUUUGCAAACACUGUUUUCAUUUACUAAAAUAUGUUAAUUUCAACAUAUUAACAAAACUUGAAACUUUGCCUCUAAAAUAGAAGACUAAAUUUCCCAAAUUUUAGUUAGGUGUAAGGUUUUUAACUAAGGGUAGGCAAAUGCCUUAUCAAUUGAAAACUAAAUUUCCCAAAUUUUAGUUAGGUGUCAGGUUUUUAACUAAGGGUAGGCA
rnacentral:lncRNA from 1 species